rnacentral:tRNA from 1 species
GGGGAUUUAGCUCAGUGGUAGAGCGCUUGCCUAGCAAGCGCAAGGCCCUUGGUUCGAUCCCCA